rnacentral:pre_miRNA from 1 species
GGGGGGAGCACAGGAUCCUGGGCUGUGUCCCCCAGUGCCCUGGAAUCCAGGGCCUGCGCUGCUGGCAUCGUGCUCCUGGGCCAUGCAGCCCCCU